rnacentral:piRNA from 1 species
UGAUUUCUGAAAUGACUGGAGUGG